GUAUUUAUAGUAUAAUAUAUUACAUUAGCUUUUCAAGCUAAAAAUAUGAAAUUCAUUAAAUAUU
rnacentral:tRNA from 1 species